GAGUUUGAUCGUGGCUCAGAUUGAACGCUGGCGGCAUGCCUUACACAUGCAAGUCGAACGGCAGCAUGAUCUAGCUUGCUAGAUUGAUGGCGAGUGGCGAACGGGUGAGUAAUACAUCGGGAACGUGCCCUGUAGUGGGGGAUAACUAGUCGAAAGAUUAGCUAAUACCGCAUACGACCUGAGGGUGAAAGUGGGGGGACCGCAAAGGCCUCAUGCUAUAGGAGCGGCCGAUGUCUGAUUAGCUAGUUGGUGGGGUAAGGGCCCACCAAGGCGACGAUCAGUAGCUGGUCUGAGAGGACGAUCAGCCACACUGGGACUGAGACACGGCCCAGACUCCUACGGGAGGCAGCAGUGGGGAAUUUUGGACAAUGGGCGAAAGCCUGAUCCAGCAAUGCGCGUGUGUGAGAAGG
rnacentral:rRNA from 1 species